AAUCAACGCUGGCGGCGUGCCUAACACAUGCAAGUCGAACGCGAAAGCCCUUUCGGGGGUAAGUAGAGUGGCGUCCGGGUGAGUAACACGUAGGUAAUCUACCUUCGGGUGGGGAAUAACUCGCCGAAAGGCGAGCUAAUACCGCAUAAUGCAGCGGCACCUAAUGGUGAUUAGUUGUUAAAGCGGGGGAUCGUAAGACCUCGCGCCUGAAGAGGAGCCUGCGGCAGAUUAGCAGUUGGUGAGGUAAUGGCUCACCAAGGCUUCGAUCUGUAGCUGGUCUGAGAGGACGGCCAGCCACACUGGCACUGACACACGGGCCAGACUCCUACGGGAGGCAGCAGUGGGGAAUUUUUGGGCAAUGGGCGCAAGCCUGACCCAGCAACGCCGCGNGAGGGAGGAAAUCCUUCGGGNUGUAAACCUCACAAGCAAGGGAAGAGAGCUCAGGACCAAUAAGUCCUGAGUCCGACGGUACCUUGCGUAAGCCACGGCUAACUACGUG
rnacentral:rRNA from 1 species